rnacentral:tRNA from 1 species
GGUAGUGUGGCCGAGAUAGGUGGCGAGUUGUAGCCUCGUUAACAGGGAGUACCCCUUACUGCCA